rnacentral:misc_RNA from 1 species
GACGAGCCAGAACACAACCCUGGCGAUCCCGUUGGACGGGCUCGCGCCGGGCAGGAACCGGUCGAC